CGCCAAAAGCUGCCAUUCGGGGGCAUUAGUUUUUAUACAGUUUAAACAUGAUAAUAUAAGUGAAGGUAAAAUCAAUUACAAACAUUGAGUUCUACGUGAAGAUGAACAAAGUUCGUAAAUAUCAUUUUGCAGUAUUAAAAUAAAACUACAGACAGAAUGCAAUGAAAGUGCAGUGGUACCGGAAACUCUGCAAAUGAGCACGUGCAAUAAUCAGACAGUCUGACCCUGCUUUCCUUGUUAGAUAAAGUGUGACGUUGCAGGUGAUGAUGUUAAAUCUUAUAAUUCUGAUAUCGUUAUUUUGUGAGUCACAUGCACUGUUUGUCACAAUAGAAACUCGGGCAGGGGCGGUACGGGGAUUCCGUAUCCCUUCCAGCUCCGGGGGAUCGCUGGAUAUUUACUUAGGGAUACCUUUUGCUGAGGCCCCAAUAGGUAGUCUUCGGUUUGCACCACCGGUAGAGAAGAGAAGUUGGAGACCAAGGAUUUUGAAUGCAACGAAAUUUGGACCCGCUUGUUCUCAGCCACUCAGACCCCUGCAGUUAUGUGAUUUCGGAUGUCCACACAAAACCAU